CCUACGGGUGGCUGCAGUGGGGAAUAUUGGACAAUGGGCGAAAGCCUGAUCCAGCCAUGCCGCGUGUGUGAAGAAGGCCUUCGGGUUGUAAAGCACUUUCAGUGGGGAAGAAAGCCUUGGGGCUAAUACCCUCGAGGAAGGACAUCACCCACAGAAGAAGCACCGGCUAACUCCGUGCCAGCAGCCGCGGUAAUACGGAGGGUGCGAGCGUUAAUCGGAAUUACUGGGCGUAAAGCGCGCGUAGGCGGUCUGAUAAGCCGGUUGUGAAAGCCCCGGGCUCAACCUGGGAACGGCAUCCGGAACUGUCAGGCUAGAGUGCAGGAGAGGAAGGUAGAAUUCCCGGUGUAGCGGUGAAAUGCGUAGAGAUCGGGAGGAAUACCAGUGGCGAAGGCGGCCUUCUGGACUGACACUGACGCUGAGGUGCGAAAGCGUGGGCAGCAAACAGGAUUAGAUACCCCGGUAGUC
rnacentral:rRNA from 1 species